rnacentral:rRNA from 1 species
GGCCCUUGCGGCGUGCUAUACAUGCAAGUCGAGCGGACAGAUGGGAGCUUGCUCCCUGAUGUUAGCGGCGGACGGGUGAGUAACACGUGGGUAACCUGCCUGUAAGACUGGGAUAACUCCGGGAAACCGGGGCUAAUACCGGAUGGUUGUCUGAACCGCAUGGUUCAGACAUAAAAGGUGGCUUCGGCUACCACUUACAGAUGGACCCGCGGCGCAUUAGCUAGUUGGUGAGGUAACGGCUCACCAAGGCGACGAUGCGUAGCCGACCUGAGAGGGUGAUCGGCCACACUGGGACUGAGACACGGCCCAGACUCCUACGGGAGGCAGCAGUAGGGAAUCUUCCGCAAUGGACGAAAGUCUGACGGAGCAACGCCGCGUGAGUGAUGAAGGUUUUCGGAUCGUAAAGCUCUGUUGUUAGGGAAGAACAAGUGCCGUUCAAAUAGGGCGGCACCUUGACGGUACCUAACCAGAAAGCCACGGCUAACUACGUGCCAGCAGCCGCGGUAAUACGUAGGUGGCAAGCGUUGUCCGGAAUUAUUGGGCGUAAAGGGCUCGCAGGCGGUUUCUUAAGUCUGAUGUGAAAGCCCCCGGCUCAACCGGGGAGGGUCAUUGGAAACUGGGGAACUUGAGUGCAGAAGAGGAGAGUGGAAUUCCACGUGUAGCGGUGAAAUGCGUAGAGAUGUGGAGGAACACCAGUGGCGAAGGCGACUCUCUGGUCUGUAACUGACGCUGAGGAGCGAAAGCGUGGGGAGCGAACAGGAUUAGAUACCCUGGUAGUCCACGCCGUAAACGAUGAGUGC